AAAAAGAGCCGGGCGGUGGUGGCGCACGCCUUUAAUCCCAGCACUCAGGAGGCAGAGGCAGGUGGAUCUCUGUGAGUUCGAGGCCAGCCUGGUCUAUAGAGCGAGUUCCAGGAAAGGCGCAAAGAUAUACAAAGAAACCCUGUCUCGAAAAGAAUAAAAUAAAAAUAAGGGGCUGAAGAGAUGGCUCAGUAGUUAAAGAGUACUGGCUGCUCUUCCAAAGGUUCUGAGUUCAAUUCCCAGCAACCACAUGGUGGCUCACAACCAUCUGAUGCCCUCUUUUGGCCUUCAAACGUACAUGCAGAUAGAGCACUAAAAAACACCCUGGCUUUAGUCCACAGGGCAGUACAGCAAGCAGGCUAUGGACAGAGUAAGGUAAGAGGAGAGGGUGCAGGUGCACCAGGAACCCCAAGGCUGGUAGACAGGAGUGAGCUUUGAAUCCUCUGCACCACAGAGCUUCACAGCUGUUACAGUCUCCUAGCAAAACAGCUGCUGGCUUCAUGAGCGUCUCAGACCCCGUGAGCAUGCUCACCGCUGACACACAGCUCAGGAGGCUACAGGAAGGUCACUGAACCCUCAUCUGAGACACCAGACCCUCCUCUCAACUUUGUAUGCAACUCUGCCCUAAAUGACGGAGGGCUUGAGUCUCUGGAGAGGACAGAGUUCACAGGCUGGGGAAGCUGCUUUGGGAUCACACACUUGGUCCUCCUCUAAUUUGUUACUGGGACCUUCCUCUGUGAGGAAGGAGUAGAUACUGUUCCCACAUCCCCAGGACAGGAGUUCUCGCAGCACACAGGACAGGUGCUUGGCAGGCAGCUGCAGGAUGAUGUCAGUGCCCAGACAGGAGCUUGGGAGGAUCCUGCAUGCCAGCCAGUAGGGGCUGAUGGCCACAGCACUCACAUCUGCCACAUAUCUAACACAAACCUCCAAGUCACUCCGGCAAGAAACCUAGCUCUGGGCUGGCGGACUCUGCAUCUGGAGUGGUGAUGGGAAGAAGCUGUUCCUAUCCAUGUGCCCUGGCCUCAAGGCCUGGUUUGAACCCACUGUCCCCACUUCAAAGGAGAGUGAGGGGCCGGCCUGGUCCAGGUAGUCAGCUGCACAGUGCUCUCGAGUCUUCUUGUAGCCUUUGCCGUUCAUCCACGGCAGACAUGUCCUCUCUGGGAUUCCCUCAAACCUCCAGCACUUCAUCCAUGCUGCUACUGGCUCUGCACAGCCAGCUUCACCAAUGUGUCAGCUGUGACCACAAGGAAGUGAGCCACCCUGUAUCCUCCUCUGGAGUUGUGGCAUCUGGAACAAAAUACCCUAGAGGACAAACACCUGGGAAGAGCUUUGGGGCCUGGGUCCUCCAUAGCAUGGCAAAGACAGGAAGAAGGAAGGAGGCAGGAGCCCACACUUCCUUCCUCCCUCCUGAUGGCGCUUCAUUUGCCAGGCGGCCACUGCAGCUGGACAGCCACUGAAGGGCUCAGCACCUUGUCAGCAAGUCAACACCCUAUGCGACCACCUUCUUAUCCUUGAACGCCAUUGGCAAGCAUCCCUCCAGCACCCUGGGCCCAGCACCAGUCACUUUCAUCCAGUGCGGACGGCAACAACUGCCAGCAGUCGGCUGUCGUGUGAACAAACCUGCACUGGGCAGAGGCGACCCCUUGCAGUAAAAAUCGUCACUUGUCAGUGCUGGUCCCGUGAUCUCCGUGGUGGAGAAUGAGGAGGCCUCAGCCUGUGUCUCAGGCUUCCAAGCCCCGCACAGGGAGAGUGGCACCUGGAAACAUCUUUCUGUGACUUCUCUGGAAGUUCCCAGCUGUCCUCAUAGAGGUAUUGGCAGGGGCACUGCUUGGGUAAUGCACUCUCCAUGCCAUCUAAUUUUCUAGAAUGAUUUCGCCUUGUGCUCCAUGUGAAAACCUUCCACUAGACCCCAAUCCCCACCUUCCAGGUGUGAUUUAAAUCCAAUGAUGAAUUUUCACAUAUUGGUUGGCUUUCAAUUCUAUUCUUUUUUUUCCCUAAGGACAUAGGAGGAGCACAAGACCUGUGGCCAACACGUGGAGCACCUGUCGCUCCCACUCGUGGCUAACGUCACUGCACUGGUGUGGCCGACUACUGAGGGUCCAGGAGGCCUUGGCCACAGGAGUACCAACGGCAGCAAAGACUGGCCUUUGGGGUGAGUGCACACCGUGCCCAGUGGCUCAGCUCCUGGACAGGAUAUGCUGAGAAGGAUGCACCACAUGUCACCUCUUCCAUCCUGCUGUCCCUACAGCUUAGAAAAAGCCCACCCACUCUGAGUCUGGCCAAACCCCAGAGAGCUCACAAAGGGAAGAAAGGGAAGCGACAUGGAGUCCACCAGCCUAGCGAACACAAGAAAGUGGCCUGUGUGGCCUAACACAGACAUGGCGAACUGAAAGUGAGGAAGGCUGGCGGGGAAAGCCCCUGCAACCUAGCUGGAAGGAAACCCGAGGCCUCUGGAACACACGGUGUGGGGGCGGCUGCCUAGGAUUGGUAGUGGGAGUGUGGGUAUGUCCAAGGCUACCUCAGUCACCUGGAUCCUGGGUGAGUCUGAAACAGGGACGGGUAAAUGAGAGCUGUGUUCAAGUGCUUGAGGACAGUGACCCACUGCAAGCUCCAAGGCAGCAUCAGUUCCUGUCACUGCAAUCACACCCAAGACCACACGACAAAACACUGAGGGCAUCUGGAAGCACAAACCGUGCAUGCAAAGGCAGUUGCUAGCCUUCAGGUGGCCAACCAUGAUAUGCUUGAUGCAAUGCUGUGGCUGGCAAUCCCAGCGGCCUGCGGCAGACUCUGAGGGAAGGCAAGCUGAGAAGCUGUAGGUGCCAGGCUAACUAGGGAAGCCAGAACCAAGCAAGUGCACAGACGCUACAUGCAAGGGGACAUUGCCAUAGCAGUCACUUGAGCCUUGGACCACGAAAUGACAAGUAGGUAGAGCUUGCCACCCUAGAAUACGGAAGGAGACACUGUGGUGGCCAGUGCCAGGCAGUGGGAAGGGUGCACCCUGACAUUGGAGGCACCCAACACUGACAGAGUUCCAAGCAGCCACGGCACCGAAAAGGAGGGCAGGACACCUCACAUCUGGCUGGCAGGCAGCUGUCCCCAUGGUGUGUCUCCAUCAACUAACUCACUGCCAUGCAGGGCUCAUGGCACUUAGUGGGCGUGGCAGGUGGAGAUGGGGAGGAUCACCACCCAAAGCACGGGACCAGAGAGCCACCAACCCCCAGCUCCACCACAUGUGGUCAACACCACGAGAAGAAAUGGGGUCAGGUCCCUGUCCCAAUCAGACUUGACCAGGGCAGAUGGCAUCACCCAGCAGAGCCAGAGUGUCAACACCUCUCUCCCUCUCUGCCAUGGCCUCUGCAGGGCAGAUCUUUGGGAUGACCAGGUCUCCCCUAACAUGCUGGUUCUCUAUCAGGAGUGAUCCUGGACCUUAAGGGAUUAGUUCUUCUGGUGACAGAUGGUGAGUGGGUGUGGCUGAUGUUCUGGGAGGAGAGGCCACAGAAGUCACCACCAAUCAUCCUACACUAGCCCCAGUGACAGCCCCAUCCUGUCCCCGUGUAGCAGAGAGAACAUGAGCAUCUAGAUUUGCGGCCAGCAGGACCCACUCCACGGGGUCACUCAGAAUGGUUCUGUCCCACAACCCCACCACUGGCUCCUCUUCUUGCCUAGCAUCCAGAUGCAGGAAAUAAGAUACGAUGGGAGCCUGCUGGCUGGGCCCAGGCAAAACGCCCUGGGGUGCAGACAGUACACACACCCAGACACCGAGGCGCCACCCUGGUUCUCAAGCUUUUCAGCAGUAGGACCCAGUGCCAUGCUAGUGCAUGACUCCAGGCUGUAAUUACCUGUAAGGACUAAAAUGCAUCUAGAAGGUGCUAAGAGGUGACCAACUUUUCUAGUGCUGGCAGUGAACCCAGGGCCUUUGCAUCCGCUAAUCAAGUGCUCACCAGUGUGAGUUUGUGUACGUGUAUACACUCUUUAAAAGCAGUUAAGUAUUUGAGUCCGCUGGCACAGGCCUGUUGUCCCAGCCACCUGGCAGGAGCUGGGUGAGGUCAUUAUAAGGUUGCAGCUCUGCAGUGGUCCUGGGACCCUGGAAGCGGUGAGGCCUGUUGGCUGCUGCCCUCUGAGCGCUGGCAAAACAAGACAGAUGGUACCCUGCAGUCACCACAGACCCUCAGAAAGUUAAGGGAGCACACAACCAGGCCAGAGAGGCCAGGCCCACGUGGAGGGAGAAGCGCAGCAGACACUGAGGUGCCCACAAGUCCUCAGUCUCUGGGGAAGGGAUGGCAGCUGUCCCCCAGCCCCAGCAAACCCUGAAUGUGCAAGCUGGCCCAGACCAGUUCCUCAUUUUCAAAACAAAUCAGAAACCUGAAGCUAGCCCUGAAAUUGCAGAAUCUCAGGCUGCUUCCUAAUUAAAAAGACGCACAGAAGCCCCGAUGGGAGUGAGCGGCCCCUCCACUGGACCCUGGGGAAGGUGACAACUACCGUCUGUGGAGCUCCACUCUGCCUUCCUGGAGAUUUUUAAGCUCUCUGGGUGCUCUGGGCACAUAGGAGUGUGGGGUGCCUCUCUCUACUGCACUGAGGGCAACCCCAGGAGGAGCCUAUGCAGAGGAAGCAGAGACCAAUGCCCUUAGGACAGGCGGAGGAGCCCGUGCCACUGUAACCAACCUGGAGUGGCGGCCAGUGGCUGGCAAGUAAGCACCCUGGAGAGCUACCCGUCUCCCCACACAGGCAGGCCCUGUGCCUGAACCCGCCAAUCUGGAAAUCACUGUACCUUCCCUGCCCUUCCCUUCCCGUCCACUCUAAACAUUCUCUUUUUUCCUUUUUGAAUUUGAAACAGGCUCGUGCUAAGUUGCCCAGGCUAGGCUUGAAAUUACUAAGCAUGUAGCCCAGGCUGGUCUGAACUUGACUAAGAUGCUCCUGCCUCAGCCUCCCAAGAGCUGGGAUAACAGGCCUGGGCCACUGGGCCCAGCUUCUCCAAGCUCACCUGCCUCCACUCACUCCAACUCAGUCCCACUGAACAGAGGAGGUUCAACUGGCUCCUGCCACCCCGCCACUGUCUUCAGAGGUUAACGGUUCUGCAGCCCGAUCAUCACAAAGCCUCUCUGCCACCUCCCCACCUCUGCUAGAGCGGCAAGAGUCAAGGCCAGGCACAUGGUCCCAAGACACACCCAGGACAGGACACCUGUCAUCCUUCUAAGCCAGCACACAGCCCUGUGUUCUUCCUUUGACCUAAGGGUCAGAUGUAAGACAUGAGAGGAGUAAGAGAGGCCAGACUCCAGGCCCAACUCUGAGGCCACCGCUGACACCUGAGCUGCAGGCACCUGCAAUGCCUGAGGCAGCACCCUCCACAACCAAGGAGCCUACCCCAGCUGUCCACGAUGCCCAGGUUGAGAAGCCCUGGGCUACAGGUCAUGCAGACAGGAUACAGGGGACAGAGGUGUGCCUCCUGGGCUGCCAUGAGCCACUUAGCCAGGGUCAUCUCAGGGAGGACUCACUCUACUUCCUCCCUUCCAUCCACCCAUGUGACACUGUGAAUGGACCUAAGACCACCAAGCCACACCCAGUGCUUUUCCUUCUUUCCUCCCCCUUUCUCCUCUCCCAUCCCCCAAUGCACCUCGGAGCUGCUGCCCAUGUCUGAAAUGGUGGUUCAGGGUUGGAACACCAGCUGCCAGUGAGCACUCACUACCACAGGCUCACAGCGCCAUGAGACAGGGCCAUAAUCUGCAUUCCCAUUUUGCUAGUGGGGAAACUGAGGCCUCAGUUCAGGGCAAAGUAAAAGCAUUAGCCUGGUUUACUCUAGGGUAGAGCCUAUGCCCGCCAUCCUGACACCUGUGGGACUGACCUGGGAGAUAACCCUGAAGCUACCCCAACCCAUAGGGUGGGGCUAUGUAUGGAAGUAUUUUAGGAAGUCACCACCCUGGGGCAGGAGACUAAAGACGGGGUGUGCUACUAGCAUUCAGUAGGUGCAUUUGGCCACACUAGUGCAUUUAGUGCCAAACCUAAAAUGCACGGGACAGCCCUGUCCAGUCCAAGGUGGCUCCUGGUUCCCACCAUGCAUACACACAGCCCCACCAGGAACUGAACAGCUAGAAGCCACUGUUGGUCCUGCUGGGUGCCACUCUUCUGUGCUAUCUCCCUUCCCACACCACAAUCAAACUGUCUUCACCCUACUUCUGUCCAGUGUUGAGGGACUACUGAAACAGGAUGCAGAGUGUGGGAAAGCCUUGUUCCAGCCUCUGUCUGUCUCUCUCCCAGGAGAGAAGCAGUGCAAGAGGACUUCUCAAAGCCAUGAACUACAGAAGUUCCAUAGAAGGACUGUGAGAGCUGCUGGUCCUUCUAUGAGAUUACCAUGGCAACAACAGCCUGCAGGAUGCAGCACUGGACUACAACUGAGGAUGCUUCCUUACAUGCAAGCAGAUACACCUCACCUGAGCUGCACAGAGCAAGGCUCUGCAACCUGGUCUGCCCUUGGCAAUGCAGGGAUCCAGGGGUCCAGAGAUCUGGGGUUAUGGGGCUACCCAAGCACCAUACUGGUUGGAAAUCAAACAUCUAUGGACUGAAGAGUGCUGGGGCCACUACCUCAGAAUGCCUGAGAUGAGAUGGCUCAGGGCAGAGAGAUGAAAUGGAUGGAGGGGGGCCUGGGAGGAAAGAAGGACUAAGGAUCUGGGCCUGGAAAGGCAGGAGCCACAGCCCUGCAGCACUCAUGACUACGGUGUAGGUACUCCAUAGCUUCAAAACACCCAGGCAAACAGCCAACGCUAAGGGGCUGAGUGCUGGCCUAGUGUGCACACCCCUGGGCUCCAUCCCCAGCAUCAUGUCAGCCACACUUGUCAUCCCAGCACUGGGAAAGUGGAGGCAGAAGGGUCAGCUGUUCAAGGUCAUCCUCAGCUACACAGCAACUUCAAGGCCAGCCUGGACUAUAUGACACUGUUUCAAAACAAAAACCAACACCAUACACCUACUUUACAAAGGUGACAAAACAUCAAACGCCGUGCUGGGAACAUGACCAAGAGAAGGAGUGUUCCGGAAACACAUAGUAACUGAUUCAGAAACGACAGAUCUAAGGCACAAAAAUUUCACAUCCUGAACCUGACUUCGACGGGGCUCUUGUCUGGGGACAAAACAGCAGGUGGGCACAGCCCUUCCUAGGUACAAACAUUCCAUUUCAGUUUUACAACACAUCGGACAGUGUGUACGGGAGCCACAAGAAAACACAGCCCCAGAGGACAGCAAAUCCAAACUGCUCCAAGGCCCCUCUCAGCGAGGACCCUCACCAAUAAACUCCCUCCCUGCUCCUUUCUCAUGGAAGAGGAAGCUCUUGGAUGGCUUCUGUACCAAGCACUGCUCUAGAAGCAAGGGGCCCACUAGUGAUGGAGAAGGAAAGGUCCUGCACUGGCAGUGCUCAGCUCCAGCAGAGCGUGACCUAGACUGCUGACUGACAGCUGCGGUGGGAACACAGGGCAGAGGGGACAGGAAAGGUGGCCACCAAGGAAAACAGGUGGCCAGGGAAUUCCUCAAGAGCACAGUAGCAUGAAGAAAAGCAGACCAUCAGGAUGGGCUGGGGGGCAGGUGGUACUCCAGACAGGAAAUCCAGGCUCGAGGAAGGCCGGAGCACAGUGGGUCAGGGAGGGAGAGCCUGUGUAGGAGGGUCACUCUAGCUUCUGGUUCAGGCGCAGCAGAAGAGGUAGAGGGAAAGACAUCCCAUGCAAAGUGUUGGUGGCUCUGGGCUAAGAGGGAGGUUCCCACUGACAAUCACGGAAGGCAGGUUGAGAGACGACCAGUUUUCUGGGAGGGGACUCUGGUGCAGACAGGACAUUACCAACCCCAAAGGAGAUCUCAGUGACACUAGCCCCAUGCAGUACUGCACACCUGUCACCCCAGCAUUUGGGAGGUGGAGGCAUGAGGACCAGGACUUCAUGGCUGGCUUCAGCCAUAAAGUGAGUUUGAGGACAGCCUGGGCUAUAUGAGACUGUCUCAAAAACACAAAAACAAAACAAAAUACACCAAACAUAAAACCCUAACAAGUUUUAAAAGAAAGUAUGGGUUUAAAACACAUCCACAGAGUAUGCCACACCAAUCUCUUGUUCUCUGGUCCCCCUACUGCCUCCACCCACAAGGUUCCUUAGCCCAGGCCACCCUGGUUCACACAGGCCUGCCUCCUGAUGUGACUCAGGCGACUUACCUACACCUACCUUUCAAGGCUUGGAUGGAGACUGAGAAGUGCAGGUGUAAACACUAUCUCCAUUCUCCGGGCACCAUCCCAACGCCCUCCCCUACCAGGGCCAAGUGGGCUCUCGGAAGAACCCCACAUCCCUGGGUUUUCUACAGAAGCCUCAGGCCACAUGUCACAGGCAGGAAGGAAUAUUGCAUGGUGGAGAACCAGGUCCCUGCUGCUAUUAGCCUGCCUGCAGUAGUGCAGGGAGAAAGGACAGGGCUAAAAAUAGACCUCUGAAGUCCCAAAACUACAACCCAGGAGCAGCCCCCAAGGGAGAACAUCAGAGGGCAUCAGGCUGCAGGGGGACUGACUAUGAGUCUAGAGAAGUGUGACAUGGUCCAGAGUGCUCAGAUGGGGUUCAGGGCCCCACCGGGGAGGACUCACAGGGCAAAGAAAGGGGGUGUGCAGAAGCAAUUAGGACCUGCACAUCAGGUGGCCAAGCCUAAAAUAGGGGAUGUGAGCUGCACCCCAAAGGACGUGGGGGCCUGGUGGGAAGAGGGGUGCAAGUUCUGUGGCAUUGGGUAGCCUUACUAUAUUCACACCACUCAAGUGGGGUGUCAAACGCCACAGGGAAGGGUAUCACGUGUCAAAAAUAAAAACGGGUUGUACAGAAGCAGUUGGGACUUUCAAGAUCAGGUGACCAGGCUUAAAUGGAGGGGGGGAGAUUAUCAGGUGCACCCCAAAGGGCAUGGAAGCCAGUGGCGGGAAUAUGGGCGCCAGGUUCGGGUUUGAGCAGAGCUCGAGAUGCAAGCCACAGCCCCUCGCUCGGACAUGGUGAACGGGUGGUGAUAGCGCGGGCGUUAUCCCUACAAAUGGAGGUCCCACCGAGAUCCGAGAAAGAAGGGACGAGCUGAUGGACACCCGAAAGGUAAGGCUGGCCAGCAUUUUAAAGAAAAAAGGUACGGGUGAAUUGUAUUGAAAUGGGUGCAGCUAGCUCACAGUCAGUUGAUUGGACUGCUGAAGCAGGAAGGCACCGAAGUUAAGAAAGGGCAAGACAGCUGAAGAUUUUAAAUAAAAAAGGAAAUCUUCCCAAUAAAGAAGAGGGAAGAAAAGGAAAUUUCCCGUUAGAAAAGGGAGAAAAAAUUUUAAUCAAGAAAAAAGGAUUUUCCCGGUAAAAAGGGGAAAAAUUUUUUGAUACUAGGCCUAAAGAUUGGGGCCCUGUAGAGGAAGGAUGGAGGAAAGAGAAAAGCCUCUUCCCAGUGGUAAUGGAGAAAGAAAAGACUUUUUCCAAUUGUAGAAUUUUCAGGAUAGCUAAAACUCGGAGCUCUUUCUGCCUGCCAGCACAGAGCGGCAGCAUCUGAAUUACAAAGAAUCGGCAGGUGGGCCUCAUUGCUGCUGGCUGAACAGAGGUUAGAAGUUUUGCUGUCUGUUUGCUUAUUUUGGUUCAAAUGUUUUUUAAUUUUCCCUCAGAAUGGGAAUAAUUCAAUAUUUAGGAUCCCUUCGUGGGAAAUGUUUUUCUGUUUUUCCCUUAUGGCGGGAAUAACUCAUUAUUGUUAGGUAGUCCCUUCAUGGGAGUAGGAAGUUUAAACAGGAGUUUGUGUGUGCGGGGCGCGCACCCAGCGGCGGCAGCGGCGGACAAAGGCAUGCAAGAGAUAGCGCCCGUGGGAGUUGGAGCUGCGAUGGAGCGCGGCCCGGCCAGGCACCAGCACUAGAGCCCAGGCACGGGCACUAGAGCCUGAGCACUGGGCGGAGCCAAAGCUAAGCCGCAGCUUCAGCUCCUGCCAAGUGAGCAGAGGCCCAGGAAGGGACUAGCGCCUAAAAGUUUAACGGGCCUAACUUCUGAUGAAAAAUGGUUUCAGUCAGGACAUUGAAUGCUAAGUCAAUGCUGUGUGAAUAAAGGAUGUUUUGUUCUUUUGAUUGUCUUAAUAAAUGUUUGGAUGAAUGUUUGAUUCUCAUGGUAGAUAAACUAAAGGAACAAGAUUCAUAAUUUUGAACUAUAUAUUAGGUGUCCUCUUGUCUGUUGAUCAUUACUGAAAAUUUGGUUCUGCAAUUUAAGUUGCUUUCUAGAAAUUCUUGGUUUAAUUUUAUAGAAAUAUAACACCUGAAAUGGAUUGGGUUGUUAGCUUAUUAAAUAAUGUUGUUGCUAAGAUAAACCCAUAAAAAAUAAUCUCUUACUGAUAAAGAGGUUACAAAAUUAUUUUUCCAGUAAAUAAAAUACAGGUAAAUUGUUUGGUCCACAUUGUUAAUAAUUGGUUAUUUGCAUUAAUGUGUUACUUGGAAUUUAUAAAAAAAAAGAUACUCUUUUUAAGAUUUUAUAAAAAUACUCCAGAGUAUUGCCUAAAGUUACCUCUUCAAAUCCUAUAGAGAUUGUAUUUAAUGCUUUUAUAAUUGACAUAUGUAAAAAGGACCAUGGAAACAAAAGCUGGUGAUAGAAUUGCUCAAUUAUUAUUGCUUUCAUAUUUUAAAGGCAAAAUGGCGCCUAUAUGUAGAACUGGGGGUUUUGAAAGUACAGGAGAAAAGAUGUUUUGACAGUUAUCAAUGAUAAACAGCCUAAAAUUAAAAACAAAAUUAUAUGGGAUUGAGAUUGAAAGAUAAUUGGAUUCUGGUGCUGGAUAUAUCUAUAAUUUCACAAGAAUCCUGAGAUCCCAAUUGGCCCCUUAAGAAUUCCAUCUCUAACCUACAAGGUAUUGGCACAGCUCAGACGCCAUUACAGAGCAGGCUACUCUUAAAUUGGAAGGAUGAGGAAGGUCAUGCAGGAACUUUUCAACCCUUUGUGCUACCUGACAUUCCAGUGAACUUGUGGGGACGAGAUGUGUUAGAUGGUAUGGGAGCUGUGCUCACUACACAGCCUGUACAAUAGAUGCUGAAAAGUCAAGGCUACUGCCCGGGCAGAGGUUUAGGGAAAAUGUUGCAAAGAGACCCACUCCCUGUGACAGACAAAAGCUGUGUCACUAGAGGUCCUGGGGAUACUAGAGGACUAGAGUCUUUUCCAUAGGGGUCACUGCACAGCAGCCUUCAAUUAUACAACUGAUAAAAAUCACUUGGAAAAGUGAUGACCCUGUAUGGGUAGAACAGUGGCCCCUUACUAAAGAAAAAUUGGCCGGGCGGUGGUGGCGCACGCCUUUAAUCCCAGCACUCGGGAGGCAGAGCCAGGCGGAUCUCUGUGAGUUCGAGGCCAGUCUGGGCUACCGAGUGAGUUCCAGGAGAGGCGCAAAGCUACACAGAGAAACCCUGUCUCGAAAAACCAAAAAAAAAAAAAAAAAAAUUGGAGGCUGCGAACACAUUAGUUAAGGAACAGUUAGAUGCUGGUCAUAUCAUUCCUUCCACUUCGCCUUGGAACUCACCUAUAUUUGUUAUUAAAAAGAAGUUAGGAAAAUGGAGGCUAUUACAGGAUCUUAGAGCUGUAAAUAAAACCAUGAUUCUCAUGGGAGCAACACAACCUGGCUUGCCUGCCGCUGUGGCAAUUCCUAAACAUUGGCAUUUAAUUGUGAUUGACUUCAGUGAUUGUUUCUGGAGUGUUUUGGCAAACAGGUCCUAUUCUAUGGGUACAUUCCCCAGCUUCUCCAGCGAAAACCAUCCAUUUCUCCCAUUCAUGAAUAUUUAUUGCAAGUGCAAGGACUUAUAUGGCCCCGCUCACAUAACCUUUAUGUGGGCCAUAUUAGAGCUCACACUCUUGCCUGGACCUCUAAGUGAAGGUAAUCAGAGGGCUGAUGCCAUUACUCGUAUGGCUGUUACAUUAGUUUGUUCUGCCUUUGAAAAGGCUACUCAGUUGCAUCAACAUUAUCAUCUUAAUGCUGGAUCUCUUCGUCAUCACACAGGCAUAACCUGGGAACAAGCCAUCCAGAUAGUUAAAUCAUGUCCUAUUUGUUGAAUUUUUACCUGUUCCUCAUUUGGGAGUUAAUCCCCGAGGACUUUUACCUAAUCAUGUGUGGCAGAUGGACGUCACACACGUGCCUUCCUUUGGAAAAUUACAAUACGUCCAUGUGUCUAUUGAUACAUAUUCUUCUCUAAUUUUUGCUUCUGCUCAUUCAGGGGAAAAGGUUAAGGAUGUUAAGAAUCAUUGUCUUCAUGCUUUUGCUUACAUGGGAGUGCCAAAAUGCAUAAAGACUGAUAAUGGUCUCGCCUACAGCAGUAUGGGAUUUUCAAAAUUCUGCCAAGACUUUUCUAUUGUUAAUAAGACUGGUAUUCCUUAUAAUCCUCAAGGACGGGCUAUAGUAGAAUGCUGCCAUCUUACCUUAAAAACAUAUAUUUCUAAAGUAAAAAGGGGGGAGCUAGGGGCUCAUCUCUCCUCUCCACAUUCUAUUCUUUCCCUUGUUUUAUAUAUUUUAAAUUUUUUAUCGAUGGAUUCUGCUGGAGUAUCCGCCACAGAUAAGCACUGGAGGGCUCCUGUUGCAAAUCAUCCUCUGGUACGAUGGAAGGAUCUUUCUACUGGCACUUGAAGGGGACCCGAUCCGGUGUUGGUGUGGGCCCGGGGAUCUGUUUGUGUCUUUCCGCAGGACAAUGAAGUUCCUCUUUGGGUCUCUGAGCGUUGUGUGCGCCCUGUGGCUGCUGCUGAAUCCCGACAUGGCAGAGACCUAUUGGGCCUUCAUAAAAAACUCUCCCCUUCUGAUGCCAAUGGGGAUUGAGAGCCCAAUACGGCCAGCCUUGGCAAGCAUUAACAUAAGCCUAGGAACUGUAGCCAUAUGGUUGGAUUCUUCAGAAGACCUGCCAGCCUAAGUAGUGCUGGGAUCAAGAAAAAUGGGCCUUGGUGGUUCGUGUUCCUGGAGCUGCGUCCAUGCCAGUGGACCAUGGCAGUUAGACACAGAUGAUGCUCACACGUUCCAGAAGAGAAUCUGACAUCGCUGUUGCCGUUGUUGCUGUUAUAGCAGUGGUGGCCACUGCUGCUAUUGCUUCUGGGAUGGCUAUUUCAUAAUUGGGUUCCACAGCUAGGACAAUGGAGACCCUGGCAGCAAAAGUAGCUACCACAGUUAGUUAAUCUUUAUUUUAUUGGGCAUGAUAAAUUUAAUUCUGCAUUUAUACAUUUAAAUUGGCUUUGAAAGUUGUAAAAAUUAUUUAAACUCAAGUUCUAUUUGCUUAUGGGAUACCACCUUACAAGGACUCCAAUUUGCAGUAAAGCUCGUUUAAGAAGGGAAUGGCUCAGUUGCCUUUAGCCUCCUGGCUAUUGGUGGGUUAGGACUUCUGUUGGUCUUUUCUGUGUCGCACAGAUUGCAAGCCCAGUGCCACUUUGAGAUCUUUGGCAGCAGUCACUCUACAGCUCACGUGGUUGAGUCUGUAUGAUAAUGAGUAUUCAGAGACGGGUAAUGCUUGGGGGGCGGUCAUCAACCUAAGACAGAGCACUUGUGUGGCCUGGGCAGGUGUCUCUAUGACGGGUAAGGUGACCUGCUGACGUCCCAUGCAACCUAAGUCAGAAGCUCAUUUUUAGUAAAAAGGGGGGACCUGUGGGCCCUGGCCCCCCACUGUGAGUGGCAGCCGCCUUGCUUGCCGACCUUGACCAGAUGUCCUCCCUAUUCAGAUUCCCUGCAGGUUUCCUUCUCACCUAACAUUCUACCGGAGGUUCUUUGUUCCUGUAUCCUGCAUUUGGUGUAAACAGCUUAGAUGCAAAAAUGUAGAACAUUCAGUAGCAAACUUCUGCCCUCCGGGGAUCCGCCAUUGUGCUGUAAGCCUGUAUUUAAGGUUUCCUCCCUCUUUCAAUAAACGGCAUUCGGCUGGCACUCGGCAUUCAGCCGUGGCGAAUGACUCGCUGUCUCUUGUCCCUUAUUUUUUAAUCCACAGCCCCUCGCUCGGACAUGGUGAACG